UCGGAAGCGAUCUUUGCGAAUCUCCUCCGCCUCCACUGCUUCCAGUAGGCGCCGAGUCGCCGUUCUGCUCGGCCGGCAAUGAGGACAUGGUUUUUUGGCCUUUGGCUUCUCGGAUCUGAGCUCUAAUAGCAACUGAUAUACCAAAAAUCCGUUCAACAAAUAAAUAAAUAAAAAACGUUAUUUUAUUUAAUUAAAAUGAUUUAACGCUCCGUUUGGUUGCCGAGAAACCGCGGAGGAUUAGAAAACAAAAAUUUCUAGAGAUAUGAAAUUUUACUUCCUAUUAUUUUUUGUGUAAUUAGAUUUCUAGGUAUUGGAAAUGGAAAAUUCAAUAUAAAAAAUGGAAUUAAAUCAAGGAGCCGGCGUGUAUUACCUGGAAAGCGUGGAUUUAAGGGUUUGGGGAUGAACAGAGAGUAGGGAUUUUCCCACCAACCAAACAGAAAAGUUGGAUUGGACAUGAAAGCAGACGAGAUCUCCCACCAACCAAACAGAAAAGUUGGAUUGGAGACGAAAGCCAACUCGAUCGAUCUCGUCUGCUGCUGGUCUUGCUGCAGCAGGCAGUACCGGAAGCAGCAGCUCAGAGAGAGGGAGAGACGAGAGAGAAGAGGGUGAUGAUUUCGAUUUUGUUGUUUCUAAAAGGUUCUGGAGGAGGAGUUAAUGGUAGGACUGUAGGAGGGAGAUGGAAAAAGGGUGUAUUUGUGGGUUCGAGAAGGUAAGGGACA
rnacentral:lncRNA from 1 species